rnacentral:rRNA from 1 species
GAUGAACGCUGGCGGCGUGCCUAAUACAUGCAAGUCGAGCGAACGGACGAGAAGCUUGCUCCUCUGAUGUUAGCGGCGGACGGGUGAGUAACACGUGGAUAACCUACCUAUAAGACUGGGAUAACUUCGGGAAACCGGAGCUAAUACCGGAUAAUAUUUUGAACCGCAUGGUUCAAAAGUGAAAGACGGUUUUGCUGUCACUUAUAGAUGGAUCCGCGCUGCAUUAGCUAGUUGGUAAGGUAACGGCUUACCAAGGCAACGAUGCGUAGCCGACCUGAGAGGGUGAUCGGCCACACUGGAACUGAGACACGGUCCAGACUCCUACGGGAGGCAGCAGUAGGGAAUCUUCCGCAAAGGGCGAAAGCCUGACGGAGCAACGCCGCGUGAGUGAUGAAGGUCUUCGGAUCGUAAAACUCUGUUAUUAGGGAAGAACAUAUGUGUAAGUAACUGUGCACAUCUUGACGGUACCUAAUCAGAAAGCCACGGCUAACUACGUG